GAGAAACGCGAUAAGGUUACAAACCAUGGCGAUCAGCGUUACCAGCAGAAGAAGCACCGGCUAACACCGUGCCAGCAGCUGCAGUAAUACGGAAGGUGCAAGCGUUAAUCGGAAUUACUGGGCGUAAAGCGCACUCAGGGGGUUUGUCAAGUCGGCUGUGAAAUCCCCUGGCUUAGCAUGGGAACUGCAUUCGAAACUGGCAGGCCAGAGUCUUGUAGAGGCGGGUAGAAUCCCAGGUGUAGCGGUGAAA
rnacentral:rRNA from 1 species